ACGGAGGGUGCAAGCGUUAAUCGGAAUUACUGGGCGUAAAGCGCGCGUAGGCGGUUGUUUAAGUCAGAUGUGAAAGCCCCGGGCUCAACCUGGGAAUGGCCUCUGAUACUGGAUAACUAGAGUUUGGGAGAGGGGAGUAGAAUUUCAGGUGUAGCGGUGAAAUGCAUAGAUAUCUGAAGGAAUACCAGUGGCGAAGGCGACUCCCUGGCCUAAAACUGACGCUGAGGUGCGAAAGCGUGGGUAGCAAACAGG
rnacentral:rRNA from 1 species